GACGAACGCUGGCGGCGUGCUUAACACAUGCAAGUCGAACGGUAAGGCCCUUCGGGGUACGACGAGUGGCGAACGGGUGAGUAACACGUGGUGAUCUGCCCUGCACUUCGGGAUAAGCCUGGGAAACUGGGUCUAAUACCGGAUAGGACCAUGGACUUCACGGUUUGUGGUGGAAAGCUUUUGCGGUGUGGGAUGGGCCCGCGGCCUAUCAGCUUGUUGGUGGGGUAAUGGCCUACCAAGGCGACGACGGGUAGCCCGGCCUGAGAGGGUGUCCGGCCACACUGGGACUGAGAUACGGCCCAGACUCCUACGGGAGGCAGCAGUGGGGAAUAUUGCACAAUGGGCGCAAGCCUGAUGCAGCGACGCCGCGUGAGGGAUGACGGCC
rnacentral:rRNA from 1 species